rnacentral:lncRNA from 1 species
AUGCUUAUAUUAAAGUUCCUCAUCAUCCCUUUUAAGCAUUCUCAAACAAAUCUUUCUCCCAAAACUCGCUCUCUAUUACUGCUCAUGUUCUCUAAAUUUGGGUCUACAUUGUCUUCGACAGAGGUUGUUACAAAUCACCCAAUUGUUCUUUGUCAAAGUCGUCGUUUUCGUUUAUUUAUUCGCUCUUAUGUCCAAAUGGAUCGCUGAAAAUCAUGUUUUCUCGAUAUCUGUUAAGAAUGCGGUGAUGGAUGUGGUUGCGACGAUGCUUCUUUAUAUAGUGAUGGCAGGGUUCAUUUAGGCACAUAGAUUAUUUUAAGGUUUUGUUAUGUUUGGUGUGUGGCUUUAUUCAGGCUUAUGAUUAAUUAUAGUGUUGUGAGCUCGUAAUUUUAGUGCUGACUUUGUCCACUUUAGUUUUGUCUUCGUCUUAGGAUUGGUAAAUGUCAUGCUGAUAUCUUUGAUUGUACAUUUAAAGUUUAUCUAAUAACUUUUAUAUUUUAUAAUAAUAAAACACAUGGGCUAAUUUGAUAGGUUCAUUUCAUAGUGCAGCUUGCUUGCCCAAGAGCAAAUUGACUGGGACACACAUAACAAUACUUCUGCAAGUCAAAAGGAAGAGCUUGGACUCAUGUACUUGCCAUGA